rnacentral:lncRNA from 1 species
AUAUGUGACCAGCCACGACAUAUCCAGGCUUAUGAAGGUAGAACGUCAUUGUGAGAAAAACGCCGUUAACUAUAUGUGACUAGCCACGUCCAGGCUUAGGAGGGUACAUUGUCUAAAAUUUGCUUUUUAUAUUUAUCUAGAAUAUUUCGAAACAAAACUCUCUGUCAUGUUAUUAUGACAUAUUUGUUGUAAUAGCAAUGAAACGAGUCAUUUCGAAUAUCGGUAUGAAAAUGAGACUGUUUUAUGAUGGCUUUUAUUUAUUGAAGGCACUAAUUUAUAAAAUAC